ACAAAAACAAUAAUCUUGAUCAUCUCGCCUAGGACACUUCAUGUGAUGUGAAUUGACUGAAAAUACUAACAAAUUGAUGCAACGCAAUUAUGUCAUGGCAGACAUUCAAUUUGGCAAGUCUAACAUUGAACGUCCUUCGCUAUCUAGGGAAAAAUAAAAUAAAACAUUUGAAAUAUUAAACAAAAGUGUCUCGUGAGUGGGGGUUUUCACCAACAUAUUUAGUAAAUACAUUUUAACCAUAACGUGUGUUGCUAUUCUUUUUCCAAAACCAUGCUAUAUUAAUAGUUACGCAUUCAAAUAGUAAAAUCAUUUCCUUUCAAAUCAUUCAUAAAAGUUCCUAUCGCAUAGGAAUACAUUCCUCAUAACGCAUACAAUACUUAUUUGGGUAUAUUCUGUUUGAAAGUUUAAGGACAUUUUUGUGUAAGUAUUCCUCGUAAAGUUCCUAUCGCAUAGGAUUUUUUUUUUUUUUUUACCCAAACUACAAAGUUUAAUCUAAGUAAAUACCUUUAGAAAAAUGAAUAAAAAAUAGAGACAAUGAUGUUUUUGGAAAGUGAGAAAAGGACAAUGGAGGGGGGAGGGGUAUCUAGUAUUGUUCUAUGUCCCAUGUUAAACAUGGGACCUUCCUUUCUUUUAUUUUAUUUUUAAAUAAAAGAUUCUUAAAGAGAUUUUAGAAAAAUUAGCAUAUUAUAGUAUUUUGUAUUUUAUAAAUGUCCUAAAUAUAAUAACAUUUCAUUUCUUUUUUCUAGAAUGAUGUGAUUUAAAUAAUUGUUGUAAAAAAUAAAGUGAUGAGAAAAAUAUUGACAAAAAUAAGUUAGCAAAAUUGUGUACCCAAUACAUGAUUUCUUUAAGUCAUGUACCCGAUUCACUACUUCGAUCGCAUGUGUAUAGCUCACUUGCAAGUGUGGCAGUGUGGACUGCCAGUUGUUCACCAUGCCAAAAUCAUGUACCGAAUACAUAACUUCAAAUGUGAUGUCGUUUACCCAUUCCAUAACUUGAACGUGAAGUUUUGUUCCUUUAUAUUAUGUUAUAUUCUGUUUGACCUUUCUUUUAAUAACAAAAAUCAACAAAUAAGGAAAUAAAAUUAAGAGAUUGAAAACCCUACCUAACUUCCACUCCCCUUUUCCCUCCCCCUCCUUGCUGUGAAACAAGACUAGCCACAACCCAUUUUCUUAUUUCUUCUUCUCCUUCAAGCUUUCCAUCAAUCAGCUUCAGACCUUGAAUAGGCCAGUGGCUUCGCUUGACGUGCGUGAUGGUGGACAAUCCAAAUCGAUGUGAUUUCACGGUAGACGAACAACAACAAUGCUUUCCUUCUCUAACGACAAUUAAUUCUUAGCAUCGAACAACUUGUUUUUAUAUUUUUGUCACUUUGGGAGUUAAUUUGACGCUUAUCCAUAAUAUUUCGACAUUAUUUUUUAGUUACUCACUUUGUGAUGGCUCUAAAUAUGUAGUAUUUAGUGUAUUUAGAUACCAACCGGCAAUGUUUUGAGUUGUGUUGCGUAAGAAUAAGUGGUAUAAGACUUUUGAGACAUUUGUUGAAAAUUAUCAUUUAAGACAAAAUACUAUGAUAGAUAUUGAAUAUCAAUAAAUAUUUAUAUAUAAAUCGUCGUAAAAUAAUCAAUUAUGACAUUUUUAUUCACGAGUUAUUUAUUAACUUACGUGGAUUAAAGAACUAAAAAAAAGUCACAGAAAAUGAUAAUAACAUUUUGUAAAAGUCGUCUAAACCUAUUUUUGUAGCUGUAUUUUCUUUUAUCCAUCUUGCUUUUAUUUGUAAAGAGAACCAUUUUCAAUUUUUGGAGAAAUCUUCCAUAAAUUUAUAGGUUUUAUAAAAAAUAAAAAAAAAACGUUUUAGGGAGUUUAUAACUUACAUGCUUUAUUUGAUAAUAAUAAUAAUAUAUGUAAAAAAAAUGAAUGGUAAUGACCUGAAAAAGUAAAUAAAACCUUUUUUUUGUGGAUAAAAUAAUAGUAUACUAAAUUAUUCAUGUUCAAGAUAUAUAGAAAAGUUUAGACAAUCGAAUAAUUAGACAUAUUUAUUUAGAUUAUAUGUAUAGAAUAAAUUUUUAAAAAUAAUAUUAUUUUAAUAAAUAAUGAAAAAAUAGGGGGGAAAGAAAAAGAUUAGACAAAGUUUUGUCAGCGAUUUUCAUUUAAAGAAGUCUUUGACCGAGUGGUUUUCCACCGUCAAAUUUUCAUUUAUGUCUUGGGUUCAGUUUUCCGAUGUUUUCCCUUUUUUUGUGCAACUUAAUGAUUUUAAAAUUACUUUUGUUUUCAACUUUUAACAUUUUUCUAGAUUUCCAUUGUUAAACUAAAUUGUCUUUUGUAAUAUAUAACUUACAUAAUUUCAGUCUAAAGUCUAUGAUUUUAAAUGUUUAACAAUAAUUUUUAAAAAAUAAUUUUAAAUUUUACAUAGGGCUUUUCGAGUAUUUAUUAUUAUUUUAUAUGUUUAUAAACCAUUUAAAACAUGUAGUUUGACACAUGAUAAAGAAAGUUAAUAUAAUAUAAUGGAUUGUAAAUACAAUUAUAUUGAAUACAUAUACAACUGUCG
rnacentral:lncRNA from 1 species